rnacentral:rRNA from 1 species
UACGUAGGAUGCGAGCGUUGUCCGGAAUUAUUGGGCGUAAAGCGAACGUAGGCGGUUUUCUUAAGAUUGGUCUUAAAAGACCGGGGCUCAACCUCGGGAAUGGAUCGAUAACUGGGAGACUGGAGGACGUCAGAGGAAAGUGGAAUUCCGAGUGUAGCGGUGAAAUGCGUAGAUAUUCGGAGGAACACCAGUGGCGAAAAGCGACUUUCUGGGACGUUCCUGACGCUGAGACGCGAAAAGCGUGGGGGAGCAAACAGG